rnacentral:rRNA from 1 species
UACAGAGGUCUCAAGCGUUGUUCGGAUUCAUUGGGCGUAAAGGGUGCGUAGGUGGUGAGGUAAGUCGGAUGUGAAAUCUCCAAGCUCAACUUGGAAAUGGCAUUGGAAACUACCUCGCUGGAGGUUUGGAGGGGGGACUGGAAUUCUCGGUGUAGCAGUGAAAUGCGUAGAUAUCGAGAGGAACACCAGUGGCGAAGGCGAGUCCCUGGACAACACCUGACACUGAGGCACGAAAGCUAGGGGAGCAAACAGG